rnacentral:lncRNA from 1 species
GUUGAUUUGCACAUGUUAAAGCUGAGGUGAUUCACCACAGAGUGGUGGUGUUAGUAAGGAUAUCUGUCGAUAGUAAGGAUACGUAACAUCUGUUGACCAAAACAGGUCUGGGUGUACUCCUUGUGGAUGCUGGGUUUCAUUGGAACUUGUUUUGAUUGAGAACUGGUUUUUAUUAUCCAUUAUGAUUGAGUCCACAGUAGGCUGGUGAGGGGAGGACGGCUCAUAAUAAUGACUGGAAUGAAGUGAAUGGAAUGGUAUCAAACACAAGGAAACCAUGUGUUUGACAUGUCAAUACCAUUCCAUUCCAGCCAUUACUAUGAGCCCGUCCUCCCCAAUUAAAGCACCACCAGCCAGCUGUGAUUGAGUCAUGGAACUCACACUAGUGUUCUGGUUAACGUACUCGAAGAACAGAUCUGAGUAAAAGCCAGCAUAGAAAGGGAAAGUCGGUGACCAGGAUCAUGUUCAGUCAGGAGAAAACCUUUUGAAAUGGAGUUAAGCGGGUAGGUAACCACUCAUUUUCAUUAUCCGUUGCGAAACAUUUUGCUACAGUGUACCCUACUGAACAUGACCAAGUGCUGAGAGAAAACAUGAAAUGUACCGGGAAAUUAAAUGGAGCCAGGAAGUAAAAUGGACCAGGAAGUAGCUCUAUAUACCCCAUAGAGCAAGAUAGAGGACACAACAUUGUAUCUGUCCCUUCAUGGCAUCUGAGAGCAUACAGCACCAUUGAGGCCAUCUCCAUUUUGAAGUGGUUACUUUUCUUAUUCUACUACUAUGAGUUGGUAAACAAACUGAAAGGGUGCACACUGCCACCUGGAGUGUGUUAUUUGAACAGGUAUAAAUCCAAGGUUUAUGAUUUACUGCCACCUGCAGUUAUGGAAUAUUUGUUCACAAGUGUAAUUCAUUGGCUGAUCCCUCCUGAUGAGCUGGUUUGAAUUAUGUGAUAAUUUCUUAACCCAUAAGAAGUCCCACCCAGUUCUACUUAAAAAUGGUGAAAGUCCUCAAUGGUGCUGCCCAUGCUAAAAUGGCUUUUAGGCACUAGAGUCCUCUAUCUACCUCUAUGAUAUACCCAUACUGUAUCUGGAUGUCCUGCCUCAUACCAAUGUUUACACAUGAAUGUAACCUGAUCGUAAAUGUUGAUGUUUCUCAGCCAAAACAGCUUGAUUAUUAAUAAAGAAAAUAGCAUUUUGUGGCUCAUUAGUAAGGUCUUUAUUGUCUUUAUGUCAUUUCAAACCUUUUACAUGUUUCUGCUUGUAUAUUUUGUACGGA